CCUACGGGAGGCAGCAGUGGGGAAUAUUGGUCAAUGGGCGCAAGCCUGACCCAGCAACGCCGCGUGAAGGAAGAAGGCUUUCGGGUUGUAAACUUCCUUUGACAGGGAAGUGUAGCAGACGGUACCUGGCGAAUAAUCCACGCCUAACUACGUGCCAGCAGCCGCGGUAAUACGUAGGUGGCCAGCGUUAUCCGGAUUUACUGGGUGUAACGGACGUGUAGCCGGGUUGACAAGUCAGAUGUGAAAUCCUGCGGCUUAACCGUAGAAUUGCAUUUGAAACUGGUAGUCUUGAGUACUGGAGAGGCGGACGGAAUUCCUGGUGUAGCGGUGAAAUGCGUAGAUAUUAGGAAGAACACCGGUGGCGAAGGCAGUCUGCUGGACAGCAACUGACGGUGAGGCGCGAAAGCGUGGGGAGCAAACAGGAUUAGAUACCCUUGUAGUC
rnacentral:rRNA from 1 species